UACGAAGGGGGCUAGCGUUGCUCGGAAUCACUGGGCGUAAAGCGCACGUAGGCGGCUUUGUAAGUUAGAGGUGAAAGCCCAGGGCUCAACCCUGGAAUUGCCUUUAAGACUGCAUCGCUAGAAUUGUGGAGAGGUAAGUGGAAUUCCGAGUGUAGAGGUGAAAUUCGUAGAUAUUCGCAAGAACACCAGUGGCGAAGGCGGCUCACUGGCCCGAUACUGACGCUGAGGCACGGAAAGCGUGGGGAGCAAACAGG
rnacentral:rRNA from 1 species